rnacentral:rRNA from 1 species
UACGUAGGUGACAAGCGUUGUCCGGAUUUACUGGGCGUAAAGCGUGUGCAGGCGGGCUGUCAAGUGGUGUAUGAAAUCGCUCGGCUUAACCGGGCGCGGUUAUGCCAGACUGACAGUCUCGAGUGCGGGAGAGGGGCGUGGAAUUCCGGGUGUAGUGGUGAAAUGCGCAGAUAUCAGGAGGAACACCGGUGGCGAAGGCGGCAUCCGUGGACCGGCAUUGACGCUGAGGCGCGAAAGCCCAGGGGAGGCG